UGUAGCUCAGUGGUAGAGCAGUUGCCUAGUAUGCAUGAUAACCUGGGAUCAAUUUCCAGCA
rnacentral:tRNA from 1 species